AUCCUUUGGUAAUUCAUGAGUGUGAUGAUUGGGUAUUUACAUCCAUGUGUGAGAUGUGCCAGUCUUGAACCUUAUAACAACAGUGGCACGUUACCAGUGUGACA
ensembl:snoRNA